rnacentral:rRNA from 1 species
GAUGAACGCUAGCGGCAGGCCUAACACAUGCAAGUCGAGGGGUAUAGGGAGCUUGCUUCCUAGAGACCGGCGCACGGGUGCGUAACGCGUAUGCAAUCUACCUUGUACAGGGGAAUAGCCCAGAGAAAUUUGGAUUAAUGCCCCAUAGUAUUAUUAAAUGGCAUCCUUUAAUAAUUAAAGUUCCAACGGUACAAGAUGAGCAUGCGUCCUAUUAGUUAGUUGGUGUGGUAACGGCAUACCAAGACGAUGAUAGGUAGGGGUCCUGAGAGGGAGAUCCCCCACACUGGUACUGAGACACGGACCAGACUCCUACGGGAGGCAGCAGUGAGGAAUAUUGGACAAUGGGCGCGAGCCUGAUCCAGCCAUGCCGCGUGCAGGAAGACGGUCCUAUGGAUUGUAAACUGCUUUUUAUACAGGAAGAAACACUGGUUCGUGAACCAGCUUGACGGUACUGUAAGAAUAAGGAUCGGCUAACUCCGUGCCAGCAGCCGCGGUAAAG